CAGUCGCCGCGGGAAUACGUAGGUGGCGAGCGUUGUCCGGAAUUAUUGGGCGUAAAGGGAGCGCAGGCGGACAUAUAAGUCCAUCUUAAAAGUGCGGGGCUCAACCCCGUGAGGGGAUGGAAACCGUAAGCCUUGAGUGCAGGAGAGGAAAGCGGAAUUCCCAGUGUAGCGGUGAAAUGCGUAGAUAUUGGGAGGAACACCAGUGGCGAAGGCGGCUUUCUGGACUGCAACUGACGCUGAGGCUCGAAAGCCAGGGGAGCGAACGGGAUUAGAUACCCGCGUAGUCCCUGUCUCUUAUACC
rnacentral:rRNA from 1 species